GACGAACGCUGGCGGCGUGCUUAACACAUGCAAGUCGAACGGAAAGACCCUGCUUUUGUGGGGUGCUCGAGUGGCGAACGGGUGAGUAACACGUGAGUAACCUGCCCUUGACUUUGGGAUAACUUCAGGAAACUGGGGCUAAUACCGGAUAGGAGCUCCUGCUGCAUGGUGGGGGUUGGAAAGUUUCGGCGGUUGGGGAUGGACUGGCGGCUUAUCAGCUUGUUGGUGGGGUAGUGGCUUACCAAGGCUUUGACGGGUAGCCGGCCUGAGAGGGUGACCGGCCACAUGGGGACUGAGAUACGGCCCAGACUCCUACGGGAGGCAGCAGUGGAGAAUAUUGCACAAUGGGCGGAAGCCUGAUGCAGCAACGCCGCGUGCGGGAUGACGGCCUUCGGGUUGUAAACCGCUUUCGCCUGUGACGAAGCGUGAGUGACGGUAAUGGGUAAAGAAGCACCGGCUAACUACGUG
rnacentral:rRNA from 1 species